CACGUAAGGGUCCGAGCGUUGUCCAGAAUUACUGGGCGUAAAGCGCGCGCAGGCGGUCCAUUCAGUCGCUGGUGAAAGCCCCACGCUCAACGUGGGAAGGUCCGGCGAGACGGGUGGACUGGAGGCAGGGAGAGGUCGGUGGAAUUCCGGGUGUAGUGGUGAAAUGCGUAGAGAUCCGGAGGAACACCAGAGGCGAAGGCGGCCGACUGGACCUGACCUGACGCUGAGGCGCGAAGGCGUGGGGAGCGAACGGG
rnacentral:rRNA from 1 species